UACGUAGGCCCCGAGCGUUGUCCGGAUUUAUUGGGCGUAAAGCGAGCGCAGGUGGUUUAUUAAGUCUGGUGUAAAAGGCAGUGGCUCAACCAUUGUAUGCAUUGGAAACUGGUAGACUUGAGCGCAGGAGAGGAGAGUGGAAUUCCAUGUGUAGCGGUGAAAUGCGUAGAUAUAUGGAGGAACACCGGUGGCGAAAGCGGCUCUCUGGCCUGUAACUGACACUGAGGCUCGAAAGCGUGGGGAGCAAACAGG
rnacentral:rRNA from 1 species